rnacentral:lncRNA from 1 species
GCACAUAUUAAAAUAACGUACACAUAUAUACAUAAAGAUAAAUGAAAAUAAAAAUAAAACAAAAAUUAAUAGUUAAAAAAAAAUGAAAGGGAUUAAAUCAAAAUCAAAAAUAAAAUUAAGGGCUCAAAUUACAAAUAAGAAAAGUAAUUAAAACACGCUGCAAAAGAAUGAGGACCAAACAUGAAAUACUCCCACAUCACUGAAACGGUGCCGUUCUAGGGGAAUACAAGCGCAUGGUCUAGGGACCAAAUUGAAACAGAAGCAAAAUUAUGUGGCCAAAAUUAAAUUUAAACAAAAGGCAGCAUUGAAUGCACCGCAAGAUUAGAGGGACCAAAGGCACAAAUUACCCAUUAGGGCAAGAGUGCGCAGGUUUUCCCUCUUUCAAACGGCGCCGCUUUAAUCAACAUAAAAGCUAAAAAUUUUACAUUUUUCUGCAGUUUCAUUUUGCUGCAAAGAACACAAAAAUAAAAUAAAGGGAAAAUCCCUUUUCUCUGCUAGGGUUCCAAGGCUAGGAACCCCACCGCCAUCACGCCUCCUCACUGCCCAAUGGCCGGAGCCAUGCGAGGGCGUCUCCCACCAGCGCGUUGGGGCGUGCUUAGAGACCAAGGCUCUGAAACAGGGAAACGAGGAUAAAACGGAAGGCCUCUGCCCCUUCCUUAACCCGCGUUCGGCUACGGCAAAGAGCCGAUGACGACGCCGAAUUUAGGGGCCGAUGCAGGUGAGUUUAGUCUUCCCAUUUUCCUUUUUCUUUUACGAUAUUAUAAGUUUUUGUUUAAGAAAAAUAAAAAUAAGACUUAUAAAAAUAGAAAUGAUAACGAUAAGUAAAAAAAAACUAAGCGGGAAUGGUGA